rnacentral:rRNA from 1 species
UACGUAGGGUGCAGGCGUUAAUCGGAAUUACUGGGCGUAAAGCGUGCGCAGGCGGUUUCUUAAGUCAGAUGUGAAAGCCCCGGGCUUAACCUGGGAACUGCGUUUGAAACUGGGAGACUUGAGUGUGGCAGAGGGGGGUGGAAUUCCACGUGUAGCAGGUGAAAUGCGUAGAUAUGUGGAGGAACACCGAUGGCGAAGGCGGUUCUCUGGGCCUUACCUGACGCUGAGGAGCGAAAGCGUGGGGAGCAAACAGG